rnacentral:rRNA from 1 species
UACGUAGGUGGCAAGCGUUAUCCGGAAUUAUUGGGCGUAAAGCGCGCGCAGGCGGUUUCUUAAGUCUGAUGUGAAAGCCCACGGCUCAACCGUGGAGGGUCAUUGGAAACUGGGGAACUUGAGCGCAGAAGAGAAAAGCGGAAUUCCACGUGUAGCGGUGAAAUGCGUAGAGAUGUGGAGGAACACCAGUGGCGAAGGCGGCUUUUUGGUCUGUAACUGACGCUGAGGCGCGAAAGCGUGGGGAGCAAACAGG